UAAGCGGAGGAAAAGAAACCAACAGGGAUUGCCUCAGUAGCGGCGAGUGAAGCGGCAAGAGCUCAGAUUUGAAAUCGCAGCGGCAACGCGGCGAGUUGUAGAUUGCAGGUGGGAGAGUUUGCGGGCGGCGGGCGUCGAAGUCCCUUGGAACAGGGCGCCACUGAGGGUGAGAGCCCCGUGCGAUGCCUGCCCAUGCUUUGAACUCCCCUCUGACGAGUCGAGUUGUUUGGGAAUGCAGCUCUAAGCGGGUGGUAAAUUCCAUCUAAGGCUAAAUACUGGCGAGAGACCGAUAGCGAACAAGUACUGUGAAGGAAAGAUGAAAAGCACUUUGAAAAGAGAGUGAAACAGCACGUGAAAUUGUUGAAAGGGAAGGGUAUUGGGCCCGACAUGGGAAUCGCGCACCGCUGCUCCUCGUGGGCGGCGCUCUGCGCUUUUCCUGGGCCAGCAUCGGUUUCCGCUGCAGGAGAAGGGGCUGUGGAAUGUGGCUGGCACGCUUGCGCGCCAGUGUUAUAGCCACGGGCCAGAUGCUGCGUGUGGGGACCGAGGGCUGCGACGGCAACGUCUCGGAUGC
rnacentral:rRNA from 1 species